rfam:Picea glauca, whole genome shotgun sequence.
ACAUGCGUACAUCAUAGCAUUAAUGCACUUGAUCCCAUUAGAAACUCCAUAGUUAAGCGUGCUCAGGCUAGAGUAGUACUGGGAUGGGUGACCACCCAGGAAUUCCUAGUGUUUUACAUGCA